rnacentral:rRNA from 1 species
AUACGUAGGGUGCAAGCGUUAAUCGGAAUUACUGGGCGUAAAGCGUGCGCAGGCGGUUUUGUAAGACAGUGGUGAAAUCCCCGGGCUCAACCUGGGAACUGCCAUUGUGACUGCAAGGCUGGAGGGCGGGAGAGGGGGAUGGAAUUCCGCGUGGAGCAGGGGAAUGCGUAGAUAUGCGGAGGAACACCGAUGGUGAAGGCAAUCCCCUGGGCCUGCACUGACGCUCAUGCACGAAAGCGUGGGGAGCAAACAGGAUUAGAUACCCUGGUAGUCCACGCCCUAAACGAUGUCAACUGGUUGUUGGGGAUUUAUUUUCUCAGUAACGAAGCUAACGCGUGAAGUUGACCGCCUGGGGAGUACGGCCGCAAGGUUAAAACUCAAAUGAAUUGACGGGG